AAUUCCUUGUCGGGUAAGUUCCGACCCGCACGAAAGGCGUAACGAUCUGGGCACUGUCUCGGAGAGAGGCUCGG
rnacentral:ncRNA from 1 species